GACGAACGCUGGCGGCGUGCUUAACACAUGCAAGUCGAACGAAGAGCGAUGGAAGCUUGCUUCUAUCAAUCUUAGUGGCGAACGGGUGAGUAACGCGUAAUCAACCUGCCCUUCAGAGGGGGACAACAGUUGGAAACGACUGCUAAUACCGCAUACGAUCUGACCUCGGCAUCGAGGAUAGAUGAAAGGUGGCCUCUAUUUAUAAGCUAUCACUGAAGGAGGGGAUUGCGUCUGAUUAGCUAGUUGGAGGGGUAACGGCCCACCAAGGCGAUGAUCAGUAGCCGGUCUGAGAGGAUGAACGGCCACAGUGGGACUGAGACACGGCCCAGACUCCUACGGGAGGCAGCAGUGGGGAAUCUUCCGCAAUGGACGAAAGUCUGACGGAGCAACGCCGCGUGAGUGAUGACGGCCUUCGGGUUGUAAAGCUCGGUUAAUCGGGACGAAAGGCCUUCUUGCGAAUAGUUAGAAGGAUUGACGGUACCGGAAUAGAAAGCCACGGCUAACUACGUG
rnacentral:rRNA from 1 species